AUGGAAAGACAACUGCUGAUUUUAACCAUGAUUUUAGGUGUGAUGACUGCAGACCAGAUUGGUCCAAAUAAAGAAACAUUAAUUACACAGAAUGAAGAAGAAACUGUGACACUGAGCUGCUCAUAUGACACAAGCAGCAGUUAUGUUGAUCUUUACUGGUACAGGCAGUAUCCAGAUAAAGAACCUCAGUAUUUAAUAUGGAAACCUGCACGAUCAAGCAGUGGAGGUGGGACCCCCUCUGAUCCUCGUUUUCAGUCAACUACAUCACAAACAUCCACUGAAUUCUCUAUUAAUGGUGUGACUCUGUCAGAUUCAGCUCUUUAUUACUGUGCUCUAAGAGUAGCAGCCCAGUGA